GUGGGAGGUAUUGUAGGAGGUUGUGGUAUUGCCACAAGGCUAUUCUAGGGGGUUGUGGUAUUGCCACCAUUACUUCUACACUGCCUUUAGAUUUGGGCAGCCAGAGAACAGUGGCUGUUCAUCAGGCGCCCAGCUCUGAAGGCAGUGCCACUGCCAGCAACAGCAUGCAAUUAAGGGUGGCAAUACCACGACACUCCUACAGUAGUCUUGCAAUCCCCGCUCAUUACCCCCAUUUGGGUUGGGACGCGCAGCGUUACAGUACCGUGAAAUUUCAGAUUUAAGUAUCUAAACCUGUGAAAUUUAUGAUUUUUAAAAUCCUAUGACCAUGAAAUUGACCAAAAUCGACCGUGAAUUUGGUAGAGCCCUAAUUAUAGAACUAUGAGGGGUUUUUUAUUAUUGCUGCAUAUCAGCUUUCUCCUCUGACGCUAACCCACUGUAGGAAUGGGUUUGCUGGGACAAAUGUUCUGCCCUUACUUACAAUCAAUAGGGUUGCAUGUGUCUUUUAGAAAUACUAGUAAUUAUAACAUUAACUAAGGAGAGAAUCUUGCUCGCUGUCAUAUGUGAUCUUAAACCUAAGAAAGAUGAUCACAAGAGUGGUCUGAUAGUUGUGUGUUUUCAACAGCAGAUGCACAGUUGUGAGGUUGUGCAAGUUUAGAGAAAACAAACCCUGAGUUAUUCCUUCUGUUCCAUCUAGUGGUGUUUGUCUCUGCUAGUGACAGGGUUUACAAAGCAUUACAGUAAGCAUGCCUCAUCUUUUGCCUUUUUUUUUCCAUAUGGGUGUGUGCUUCCUUUUCGUCGUGGUGUGUUUUUUUUUUGUUUUUGUUUUUGUUUUUAUGCAACUACUCCUUCCAUUUUAAGAAUAAGAAAUGAACUUUAGACUGUGUGUGUGGGGGUAGGGGGGAAUGUUUCAUAAACACUGUGGUUCUGAUCCCUCUAAUCUUUUUCUACCUGUAGGGGCAGGUGACUGCCAAGAAGGAACUGGGAGGCUCUGACUUUUCCAAGGCUCAAGUUUAUGCAAUGAAGAAGAAUAUUUUAGAAGCUAACGAGAGAGGUCAGAACAGCAUGGUCAGAAGGAUUACAGAUUUGAUGGACCCUUGAUGUGAUAAGAACUUAAGAAUUGCCAUACUGGGUCAGACCAAAGAUCCAUCUAGCCCAGUAUCCUGUCUUCCAACAGUGGUCAAUACCAGGAGCUUCAGAGGGAAUGAACAGAACAGGUGCCAACCUUCUAUGAAUAUCCUGAGUGUGCCAAAAGGAGAGCAUAUUGCACGGGGGGGGAAACCUGUCCACAGAUUGCUACAAACUGAAAGGGGGAAGACUAAGCUUUGUUUCAGUUUUCUCAGAUGUACCUCACCAGCAACAGAUACAUCAUCCUGGUGAGAGGUUAAGUGCCUGCUUCUGCUAAAACUUCACCCUCUGUAUUGAAACAUACCAGAAUGAAACUGCUAUGGUGUAGAGAGACAAGCAUGUGGUCAUGAGAGACAGACUGCUGGACUUGGUGGAUCAAUCAUUUGCGCAGAUCGCAGGACUCUGGACCUUCGACUGCUGGACCCAGACUGGCACUGGCAUAGGCAGGAGGAGCACAGAGCCUUCAUGCAUGACUGGACCCAGGAACCACAGCAGCUGGAACCAGGAAAAAUGUCCCACAUGUAACUGAGCUUGCUGAGUUCACAAUCAAAAGGUGUAAUUUUCCAUCUGUGAUGCUUCCUGCAACAGGUACCCUGGAAAUUCUUAAUUAAUGGAGGUAACUCUUCCUUCACAAAAGUGGACUUUCGGUUUCAAAUUAGUGAACACUCCUCAAGAGAAUCAACACAACCAGGCAUCUGAAGAAGUGGGUUUUUUACCCAUGAAAGCUUAUACCCAAAUAAAUCUGUUAGUCUUUAAGGUA